AUGGACAAAUUAAUCAUUUUGUUACUGAUUUUUGCACUCAUUAGUACCAUUUGUGAGGGUAAAUUUUGGGGUAUAACGCAUGUUAAAAUUAUCAAUGGUCUGGAACCACCGGCAGAUGUUAGCGUUCAUUGUAAAUCCAAAGACGAUGAUCUUGGUGCUCGUCAACUUCUGUACAAUGCUAGCUUUCAGUUUCAGUUUAGGCCCAACUUUUGGGGAAGUACACAAUUCUACUGCAGUUUUGUGUGGCCAAAACAAAUUCAAUGGUUCGACAUUUUCGAACACAGCAGGGAUGAUUGCAAGUUUUGUACGUGGAUUGUCAAAACUGGAGGUCCAUGUAUGUUCAAUUAUACCUCUCAGAGCUUUGAUCAAUGUCAUCCCUGGAACAAGAAAAUUUGA
rnacentral:lncRNA from 1 species